UACGUAGGAUCCAAGCGUUGUCCGGAUUUACUGGGUGUAAAGGGUGCGCAGGCGGACUGGUAAGUCAGAGCUGAAAUCUCAUCGCUCAACGGUGAAACUGCCUUUGAUACUAUCAUUCUUGAGUCCGAUAGAGAUCUGUGGAAUUCCGAGUGUAGCAGUGAAAUGUGUAGAUAUUCGGAAGAACACCAGUGGCGAAGGCAGCAGAUUGGGUCGGUACUGACGCUCAGGCACGAAAGCAUGGGGAUCAAACAGG
rnacentral:rRNA from 1 species